AGGGAUGUAGCUCAGUUGGUAGAGUGCUUGCCUCAUAUGCACAAGGCCCUGGGUUCAAUCCUCAGCACCACAA
rnacentral:tRNA from 1 species